rnacentral:lncRNA from 1 species
AUGUGUAGAAAUCUAAAUUAUGCUCUAGCUCAGGUACUUGGACCACCUCCUUUCAUUCUUCUGUUACUAGAGGGUUGUGUCUUCCCUUGGUUGCAGUGUUCGAUUUGGUGUUUUGGCGAUAUCAAUUUUGGUGGAGUUGGUGAUUAUUGUGUGGUUGCUUUUGUGUUUUUGUGCUUCUGUUUUGUAAGGUUUUCUUGGUUUUGCUA